ensembl:lncRNA novel transcript, sense intronic to BACE1
AUUCUUUCUGUAACCUCAAGAUGGUAUAAAAUCAUCAACCAUCUGGCUAUCUCUUUGACUUCCUAUAUUUUUUUGACUCCCUUGCAUAUUAGUUCUUCUACUAAUCUGCCUUUUUUCAGUUGGUUUUUCAGCAGACCUGCAGAGGGCACAGGGGAAGUGUUCCUUUGGCCCCUGCAGCACCACAGGACCCCAGGUCCUGUCUGUGGUCGUGGUGGUAACGGGUGCCAGCCUGGACCAGUCCUGCAUCGUGGAGCUUCACUCUGGACAUUCUAAGGGGCAGACUGUGGCUGGGGCGUGAGGGAUAAUAAAGGUGGUGUGACCGAA